rnacentral:lncRNA from 1 species
AUGAACAAUUACUCGUAUUUUAUAUACUACGAACAAUAGUGCAAGGAGCAGCAAUCCAGUAAACAGAAAGAUUUCAUAUAUUUAAUCAACUCGGUUGCAUUACAUGGAACACAAUCUGAAAAAGAUAUUACAUAAUCUCCUAUAUAUUAACCAUGAAAAAGAAGGUGAAAUGUAAAACUAUCUUGUAGUAGCCCCAUUCUCGAUCUUUCUAUCAACAACCUAGCCAUGCAUAAUCUUCGUCUUCAUCAGCCUUCAUGCUACUUAGCCCACCAAAACGCCAUAUAUUUAGGUACAGAGGGAGUAGAUGACAAGCUUCUCUAUGAACUUCUCUGGACGCCUUCUUUGACAUUGCUAUUGGAUGAACCACCACCACCCUGCACAUCAUUCAGUACUAGAACUGACUGGCAAAGCGCCACUGCAAUAGAUUAAAUAAACAGAAUGAAAAUUCAACAUGUGGAGAUGGAAGCCGCAUGCAAAACUUAAAUAUUCUAGGAUUAAUCAUUUAUUGAAGGAAUGCUCAAUCAGUUCAGUGUACUGUAAAUGACCAAUAUAAAUUCUUGUUGUUCCUUAUUCCUAGCAGAGGGUCGAUUUAAUUGUAACAAGAAUGUAUAACUGCGAAGUAGGCAUGCUAGUCUGUUAGGGACUCUUAAAGUUUGUCCCCUCAAUCUUUUUCUUUUCUUUUGCCAUAUGUCACAAACCAAACAUACAUUAGGACCAUAUAUAUCAAACAUAUAGACAUGCAUGUUGUCAUCAACAUGGUUCCCUCUUGGUACGAAAAAAGGAAGUCUCAUCCUAAGAUCAAAGAUUAGCCACGUUAAGACAUCUAGAUUAUAGCAUACAGAAAAAUAGUAAAUUGUAUACUGCAAGUGGGUAAUUGAAACUUUAAGAUAGCCACACACAUAUACUGUUAUUUUGUUGUCCAGCCAAUUAAAUAAAGAGUAACUUGAAGUAACCUCACAAAAAGAAAACUUGAACUAAGAUAAUGAAAACUUAUUGUGCCAUAUAACUUACAUUCAGGUGUGAAUUUCGUUCCACAAAGCUUCUACAGACCAACAAAAAUCCCUUCGACAACAUCCUUUAUGGGUAAUUGGGAAUAUAGUUCGUGGAGAUAAUUUUAACAAACUUGGUUUAUGUGUAUUUUGUCACCAGUUCCUCAAGGCAAGUCUAAAGCAACCCACAUUAAGGUAUCCUGUGAUAAGUUCAUCAGAAGUUUCAGACAAUGAACAACUCACGUUAGAAUUUGUAUCUAAAGUGUUUUCUAUAUUAUAAGCACCUUUCAAAAAAACUUAACCAGAAAUGCAAAAUGGAGCUCGAACUCCAGGUAGCUCUUUAUCUAAAACAUCCAUGUGCAAAAAGUUUGGUGAAAUCACCAUAUUUGGGCAUUUUAUACUACUAGUCGUUAAACCGCGCAUUCACACGGGCUAGUGUUUAUCUUGUGUGGCUUUGUGGGUUUUCGACUCUUAACUUACUACCUAGAAAUAUUUACCAGCAAUCUAUGUUUUGUGUGAUUUUUUUCUACCAUCAAAUGAUUUUUUUUCUUUCUAAAUUUGCAGUUCAACAUGGAACACGCUACCUAUAGUACAAUACUCGAGCAAUAAAAAUAAAUUGUCCAAAAGUUUUGACGUGAUGACUUCCAUUUUCAGAUAUACUAAACUUUUUUCUAUCAGGAAAUAACAAAUCUUUUUUCUUUUGCGGGGGAGAAAAUAACUAACCUGGUGUUCUUGUAAGCUUAAAAUACGGCCUGCUAUCUUAGUAAUAUUAACAUUGUAAUUGUUCGAACUGUUCACAUUGCAUUCAAGUUCUAGAUGAUUUAAAUACAAAUAAGCUAACCAUCCCCAGCAAAAAAAAUGUAACCACAUUUUCAUAUAUAUUGAAGGGAAUUAUAAAAUUUUGUCCUACAGUAUAAGAAAUAAGUCGGGGUUUGCAACAUAUUGGGUACUAUACAAAUCAGUCCAAACAGACUGAAUUGACUCAUUCUCAUAUUCCAACAAACUGUUCUCAAACAGACUAUAUUGAAGCAUGUACAUUAGUAGAUUGAAGUAUGGUUUGAAAGAGCAUGGAAGCAUUAACACUACCAUGUAGUGAAAGUUCCACAAAAGCUUCAAGCACACUAUAUUGAUGCGUUGGCGAGAAUCAAAGCAUUACUCUGGUUCUCCGUAAGAGCACGUCUUUACAGCAAGCUAGAGGCCGACACAUGUAACCAGAUUGGAUUGAUCGUACUUAGCCCUUCCUUUAACCUAGGUGCAAGUGUUUCCUCCCCACGUGUGCCUUGCCCUCGGUCCUACUCACCUGCGGUACAGAGGCCAAUCUUUCCAUCUAGGCCAGCAGACAACACGCCACAAGUGAUCUGAUGUUCUGAUUCUACCACUUUAAGUCCUCUGCCUCUCCGCUUGACAACACCCUGCACAGAUCAUUGCCUGAAACAUAUAGCCAUCUGGUC